CUACGGGCGGCUGCAGCGGGGAAUAUUGCACAAUGGAGGAAACUCUGAUGCAGCGACGCCGCGUGGAGGAUGACACUUUUCGGAGCGUAAACUCCUUUUAUAUAGGAAGAAGAUGACGGUACUAUAUGAAUAAGCGCCGGCUAACUCCGUGCCAGCAGCCGCGGUAAUACGGAGGGCGCAAGCGUUACUCGGAAUCACUGGGCGUAAAGAGCGUGUAGGCGGAUUAAAAAGUCAGAAGUGAAAUCCUAUAGCUUAACUAUAGAACUGCUUCUGAAACUCUUAAUCUAGAAUGUGGGAGAGGUAGAUGGAAUUUCUGGUGUAGGGGUAAAAUCCGUAGAGAUCAGAAGGAAUACCGAUUGCGAAGGCGAUCUACUAGAACAUUAUUGACGCUGAGACGCGAAAGCGUGGGGAGCAAACAGGAUUAGAUACCCCCGUAGUC
rnacentral:rRNA from 1 species